UGUUCAUAAUUGCCAGCACACAGAUAGCAUACCCUGAUAGAAACUCUCUUAAAAAUGUAUAAAACUGACAGAGGGCAAAAAAGAAUGAUAGAGAGAGAUCUUUCAGAUAAACUCUGUAGCUCAGUAUGGAAUUAAUCAAGGAAUCUCUAUUGGAGGAAAUAUGAGUGGAGACCAUUAAAUUUGACAAAUUAUACGAUAAUUUCAUACUAUAUUUACAAAAAUUUGAAGAGUAUAUUGGUUCCAGUCGGUUGGCAAAAAUGCAAGUUGACUAUUUGUCAUGUCCCGAACCUAGAGCAUAACAGACGCCGCAUACCUACAGAGCAAAUCAUACAAGCAUGCAAAGCUACUGAUGAAAUCAUAAUAAUCUACAAAAUAAUAAUAAUAAUAGUUCGAUCCUCAAAAAUUAAUUUAAUCAAGAUCUAAACAAAUAACCCUUAUAAUCAAUUAUCCAAACUAACAUAAGUCAAAAUAUUCCAACUAAUUAUUAUUAUUCAAAUCGAAUAAAAUGUUCAAACUAAACUAAACCAGUCUAACUAAAUUAAGUUAGAAAUCCAAAUAAUCACGAAUAUCUUCAGAAGACCUAGCGCACUCUCCUAAUUCCCAAACAAUCAUGAUUUAGGAUCUGAAAAAUAGAAAAAAAAGAAUAAUGAGCUACAUCAGCUUAAUAAGCAACAUAACAUAUUAAAGUGGGGUCUAAGCAUGCCAAACAAAUAAAUAAUCGAAUAACAUGAUACUAAUUGAGAAUAAAUCAAAUCUUGAGUAAUACACAUAAUUCUUUCAAAAUUUAUUUUUCAAAACUAAUACUAUACCCAACAUCAGGCUAUGGCCACGUAACCCAGUGGCAUGGGUCAGAUAGCAGAUAUAUGAUGCACAAAAUGCCAGAUAACAGAUAUCACUAUUCUAAUUACU
rnacentral:lncRNA from 1 species